GGGCCUGUAGCUCAGCCUGGUAGAGCACCGCCCUUGCAAGGCGGGGGCCUCGGGUUCAAAUCCCGACGGGUCCA
rnacentral:tRNA from 1 species